rnacentral:rRNA from 1 species
UACGAAGGGGACUAGCGUUGUUCGGAUUUACUGGGCGUAAAGCGCGCGUAGGCGGAUCGCUAAGUCAGGGGUGAAAUCCCAGGGCUCAACCCUGGAACUGCCUUUGAUACUGACGAUCUGGAGAUCGGGAGAGGUUGGUGGAAUUCCGAGUGUAGAGGUGAAAUUCGUAGAUAUUCGGAGGAACACCAGUGGCGAAGGCGGCUCACUGGCCCGGUACUGACGCUGAGGCGCGAAAGCGUGGGGAGCAAACAGGG